UACGUAGGGGGCAAGCGUUGUCCGGAUUUAUUGGGCGUAAAGAGCGUGUAGGCGGCCUGACAGGUCUGCUGUGAAAACUCGAGGCUCAACCUCGAGAUGUCGGCGGAAACCGUCUGGCUAGAGUCCGGAAGAGGAGAGUGGAAUUCCUGGUGUAGCGGUGAAAUGCGCAGAUAUCAGGAAGAACACCUAUGGCGAAGGCGGCUUUCUGGUCUGUAACUGACGCUGAGGCGCGAAAGCGUGGGGAGCAAACAGG
rnacentral:rRNA from 1 species